AUAAUACCAUAUAAUUGGAAAAUACCUAUAAUACCGUUAUUUACUAUUAAUACCGAAUAUUCAGUACAUUGUUGUUUAUAGCUCGUUAACUGUAAAUACCGAAUACCAGUUUUCAAAAGUUCAAGUACCGCCAGCCUUAUCCUUUGCCCUUUUUUUUACCUUCACUUCUCUUCGCCAGUUGAAAAUGUUUUCCCCCACCAGUGUGUAUCUUCAGGGUGGUGAAUAGUUGAUAUUCUGAUGGCACCAGGUCAGGGGAAUGUGCAGGGUGUUCUAAACAUCCCAUCUGAACGAUUUAAAAAGUUGUUUGGUGCGUUGGCCCCGUGGGAGGAUCUGUCAUUGUCGUACAGAAGGCUGACUACUUUCUUUUGCAGCAGUUCACUUAUCUUGUUUUGCAUUAACCUAAUUAAGAUAUUAAGACAUUAAGAUUUUGAUGGUUUAGUCUUGAUGAAAACGUUUGAUCAAAAUGAUCCCAUUGUAUAGUCUCAACACAAAACAAAUCAUUUUUUUUUUUUUUUUUUACCGAAAUCGUCGUUUUUAAAUGAAUGGCUGAGGGCGAUAAUGUGUGUCACCAUUGUGAAUCUGUCUUUUGGGUUCAGAAGUAUAGUGGCAACCCAAGUUUCGUCUUUGGUCACAAUUUAGUUCAGACAAGUAUCUUUAAGUUCAUGUUGGUAACGGAU